UAGAGCACCACCUUGCCAAGGUGGUUGUCGCGAGUUCGAAUCUCGUCUCCCGCU
rnacentral:tRNA from 1 species